rnacentral:rRNA from 1 species
GACGAACGCUGGCGGCGUGCUUAACACAUGCAAGUCGACGGAAGUGGCGGACGGGUGAGUAACACGUGGGAACCUACCCAUCAGAGGGGGAUAACACUUGGAAACAGGUGCUAAUACCGCAUACUGAUGGAUGGACCCGCGGUGCAUUAGCUAGUUGGUGAGGUAACGGUUCACCAAGGCCAAGCGGCAUAGCCGACCUGAGAGGAGGUUCAGUCACCCUGGAACGGAGACACGGUCCAGACUCCUACGGGAGGCAGCAGUGGGGAAUAUUGGACAAUGGGCGAAAGCCUGAUCCAGCCAUGCCGCGUGUGUGAAGAAGGUCUUCGGAUUGUAAAGCACUUUAAGUUGGGAGGCGUUACCAACAGAAUAAGCACCGGCUAACUUCGUGCCAGCAGCCGCGGUAAUAC